rnacentral:rRNA from 1 species
UACGAGGGGUCCUAGCGUUGUUCGGAUUCACUGGGCGUAAAGGGUGCGCAGGUGGGCUGGUAAGUUCGAUGUGAAAGCCCCGGGCUUAACCCGGGAAUGGCAUUGGAUACUACUGGUCUGGAGGAUUGGAGGGGGGGACUGGAAUUCUUGGUGUAGCAGUGAAAUGCGUAGAUAUCAAGAGGAACACCAGUGGCGAAGGCGAGUCCCCUGGACAAUACCUGACACUGAGGUAACGAAAGCCAAGGGAGCAAACAGG